GGUGGCUUAGUGGUAGGGUGCUUGCCUCAUACGCAUGAGGCCCUGGGUUCAAUUCCUCAGCACCA
rfam:Dipodomys ordii contig_69404, whole genome shotgun sequence.